GCCUGGGUGGCUCAGUCAGUUGAGCGUCCGACUUCAGCUCGGGUCAUGAUCUCGCGGUCCGUGAGUUCGAGCCCCCCAUCGGGCU
rnacentral:tRNA from 1 species